AGCAGGAUGGGCUGGGCAGUGGGACAGCCUGUGUGCACAUUUCGUGGCAAGUAGGAAUGACACACCAUCCCUGUGAGGCGCCAUGGUUCCUGCCAAACCUGGCCCCAGAACUCUGUCCCUGAGGUGGUUUUACAAAACCCAAAACCCAGAACUGUGGUUGUGGCUCAGGGGCCAGCACCUGCUAGUACCAGGACACUACUGGGAGGCUGGGACCUGACCAAAGCUCAUGGUGUCUGUUGCCUGAGGACAGGGUGUCUUGGGCCAUAAGGCCAGGCCACCAAUGGCCAUUGGGUCAUAGGGGCUCAGCCCCAGUGUUUGCCCUUCCCUGGCUCCUUCUGGUUCGGUCCUAUCAGGGCCCUGGAGCCCAAGACCCAGCAUCCAAGGUCCCCUCCAGGAAUCCUGGCGGCUCAGCUUACUUUGUCAUGUUUCAUCUGAGAGCAAAAAUGUCAGAUCGGCUGCACAGAAAAAUGGCUCAAAGUACUUAAUGACUAGAAGAAAUCUAGGAGCAGCAAGAAGAUGUCUCGGCUGCUCUACAAGGGAGUCCCAUUUCAGGUGUGGUGCUGGGCAUGGUCACUCCUGCUGAAUGUCUAGAAGGUGAAAACCAAGGACCUAGGGAAAUACCAGGUACAGCCUUUCCACCCUCAUCCAGAGCGGGACAAACAGGCCAGGCGGUGUCAGGAGCACAGGUCUCCAGCUGGAGGGAGUGUCAGCCCUGCAGUAGGAGUCCAUCACGCAUCCUAGGCACAUAUGCUAAUGUAGGUAUCACAGAAGCACUGCUGACUGUUUGGUGGUUCCCAUUUGUGGCAGUGAGCUUUUUUUCCAUCCCGAGGUUGGGCUGGUUUCUCCUCUUGGCCCUGCCCUACAGACCAUAAAGGAGAACAGCAAGAGGCUCCCAGCAAACAUCCACAGAUUGCCCUGGACAUCAGCCACAUUCUGAGAAACAUGUCAUGUUCUGGGAGGGCUAAGGCAUCAAGAAUUCAAGUGACUAUAUUGCCACCAUCUUGGAGCUCACUGCCCUCAGUGUAAUGGCACCAGUAGAUCUGCCUGUGCACAGACUUCCUGUACUACCCACUCUUGAGGGGUGAUGCUUCUGCCUCACCAUAUGCUCAGGCCUAUGACCGGAUGCACAACUUUAGACACCAUCAUCCUGGAGCAGCUCUGCACCCUCACUAGCCAGGGUGUUGACAUCCUCAAGGCCAAGGCCACAUUCAAGACUUUGGAUUUCAUUGAUGCACUUGUCCUGAGCAAACCAUUUUGCAGACCCUGGUCAGAGUGAAACGUUCUAUGGGAACUCGGGCCGUGAGAAGCAUCCUUCCUAACCACCUGACUGUAGAAACAUCCUUAUCACAUCCUCCCGGUCAAAGGCCCAACAGCCUGACUGCAGGAACAUCCUUGCCAUAUCCUGCCGGGCAGCAAGCUCUACCGCCCAGACCCCUCCCUCCCAGUCCCAUGAUUGCCCCAGCCUGUGAGCGGCAGUUGGUGCUGGCACUAAGCUGGUUUCCCCCACCGCAGGGUUUUGCUAGCAAUAAAGGUGUUGUUGUUGAGGCUGC
rnacentral:lncRNA from 1 species